rnacentral:misc_RNA from 1 species
ACUUUCUUGUUAGACACAACCCAACACGCUGGUAUAACACCAAUGCGAGUUGAGCAGUCAUUUUAGGGACAGUAAAACACUUAAAUUGGGACAUAACAAGGAUCCUAUGGACCCAUGCCCACAUCAGGUUCUAUAUUAAAGAGACCAAGCAAUGUUCAAUACACCACUACAUCAACACAUCAGUUAAUGAUGUGGUUCAAAGAGACUGCAUUAAGGUUUCAUCUGGUGUCUUGAGCAUGACACAAGACGAAAGGAACUGAUCCAACCCAAAUAGAUGCCGUAUGUUAGAGGCAGGAAAAACACAAGAAACCCACAAUUUGGUCAGGGCUUUAGAAGCCUUAACAUAUGAAAGCAAGGUUUGUAAGGCGGAAGUUAUUGCACAAGCAAAGAGCCAACCACCAAAAACAAACC